CAUUGUCCUUUGGAAUCCUCCUGUGAUCUCUAUCCUAGAUAAAAGAGAUUAACAGAAGUGUUGAAAACAACUUCCACAUCACGUAGCUAGCAUCCUCUGACAACCCACUUCAAGGAGGACUUUGACCAGAGUCCCGGAGAGUGAAGAAUGUGAUGCGGGACAAAGGUGGGCGAGGAGCCUGACUGACCCAGUUUUCUCAGGACCCUCACUCGCAUGGACUCAGAGCUCAGGAAGUCCAGCCAGAAGAGACGCAGACGACAGGCUGUGCUGGGAGAUCCUCCAGCUCCAAGAGAACAGCAGCCUCCAGACCCCUCUAGUGUCCCUGCUUGCGAACCCCACCUGGGAGUGGGAAGGAUGGCCAACAGGCGGAAGGAACUAGGCAAACAUAAUGCUUCCUUCUGGUUCUUCAAACACGCCACCUGCUU